GCCUGCUCUGAGGAACUCUCGGCGGGACACCAGCCACUGGCGCGGCUCUCGGUCGUAGUCGCUGCACGCAGGGGACGUGGGGCACGUCUCUACCUGCGGCGCGCAGUGCAAUGCAUCUGGCCAGGGGGAAAGAGAUGGCGAUAUGCUAGCGACUGGCGCACGCGGAGCGAGGGCACCGUGGAACCGCCGACGCUCAGGAUCCCCGGACAAUCCUGUGCCUUUGGCGGUGUGUGGAGCGCUCUCGACGUUAAAGCCCAGUAAAUAGACGAAGGACUUGUUUCAAUUUCAACUUCACAAGGAUCCCUUUCUAAUCACUCCUUUCUUCCCUGAUUUUUUUUAAUUAAAAAAUACAGAUCAAAGUAAA
rnacentral:lncRNA from 1 species